GUAAGGAAUAUUGGUCAAUGGACGCAAGUCUGAACCAGCCAUGCCGCGUGGAGGAUUAAGGCCCUCUGGGUUGUAAACUCCUUUUAUCUGGGAAGAAAUGUACUUUUUCUUGAGUACUUGACGGUACCAGAGGAAUAAGCACCGGCUAACUCCGUGCCAGCAGCCGCGGUAAUACGGAGGGUGCAAGCGUUAUCCGGAUUCACUGGGUUUAAAGGGUGCGUAGGCGGACAGGUAAGUCAGUGGUGAAAUCUCCGGGCUUAACCCGGAAACUGCCGUUGAUACUAUUUGUCUUGAAUACUGUGGAGGUAAGCGGAAUAUGUCAUGUAGCGGUGAAAUGCUUAGAUAUGACAUAGAACACCAAUUGCGAAGGCAGCUUACUACACAGCGAUUGACGCUGAGGCACGAAAGCGUGGGGAUCAAACAGG
rnacentral:rRNA from 1 species